rnacentral:lncRNA from 1 species
AACUGAAGAGGAGGACAGCUGUAAGUACUAAAGCUCUAUUCUGUUUCUUUCAAGCUCAAAGCUUCUUUACUGCUUCUGACCUAACCUUCCUGGUCUUGAGAUAAUACCCCUCAACACACCAUUAGAAAAGGGAAUGAACUUUUGGUGCCUAUCAGGCUAAAAUAUUUUUUAUAAAGAAAUCAGCAUAUUGAACAAAUGGAGAAUUUCUCAUUUUGCAAACAUAAGUUUUUCUUUUAAUUGAAAGGUAUUUUAAAAUCUAUUCUUGGGCUGGGGUUGUGACUCAGUGGUAGAGAACUUGCCUAGCAUGUAUGAGGCACUGGGUUUAAUUCUCAGCGCGAUAGAUAGAUAGAUAGAUAGAUAGAUAGAUAGAUAGAUAGAUAAAAUAAAGUCCAUCAACAACUACAAAAUAAUUUUUUAAAUCUAUUCUUAUAACAAUUCUAGAGGGAGUAUACAAGGGAGAGUGGGAAUGUAAGUGAAUUUUAAUGUGGUUAAUUUGACUGUCUUCUGUUUAAUAAACCACUUAUUAGAUAUUAAUAACUCGUUAGUUUCACCCAGGACUACAAUUCUCAACAAUCAACAAUUUUCAAUAGUUACUAAAAUUCUUAGGAGAACUGACUUCAGAUUAAUUUAGAGAAUUAUCUCUGGGAAUUCUAAUGUUCAAAUAUCCUUUUCAUUUCUACAAUUUGAUACAAAUGACUAGAACUUUAUGUCAGAAUCUCAUCACUGAACCUGAUUGCUUAAUCCAGAGUUAAGGUAGUAGUCUGCUCACACAAGCCUCAUAGUGGCUCCACCACUGUUCUCUCCUCUUCCAAACAUGGUAAGUGGUAAGUAACCCUAAGGAUUUGAAUUAGAAGGACAUGAGAAAGGUAUUUCUAGGCUCUCUGAGUCCUAUCAUGGGGAAUUGCUAAUGCAGCCAUAUUCAUUCUGAGGAAAAAUCAGAAUUGGGAGUGGGAAAGGUAGUGGGGUGGGAAGAUGAGAAUCCACUUCUUUCUUUUUUUGGUAUUUUUAAUUUUUUAUUGUGGGUUGUUCAAAACAUUACAAAUUUCUUGACAUAUCAUAUUCCACACUUUGAUUCAAGUGGGUUAUGAACUCCCACCUUCACCCCAUACACAGAUUGCAUUUGAGGAGAAACAUCCAAAGAGAAUUUACUUCUUCUUCACUUUCCAAUCAUACUGAAAGGAAGAGGGAGUAUGAGAUUAUUAACUUAUGGGAGGCAAUUUUCAAUCAUUCUCAGGUAGGAUUUUUAUACUGUACAUAGUUUAUAAUAUUUUGUGUGCAAAAGGAAAUGAUGUUCCUUUCAUUAAAUAAGCACUUGUAAAAUUAUCCUUGAUAUAAUAUGUGUUACCUAAAAUCUUAGGAAAUUUUAAGAUGGGUAACAAUCUCUUACCUCUAAGCACUUGCCAUUUAGUGGGAAAAGCAAACCUGUGAACAAAUAGAUAUAAUAAAACUCCCGAUGGUAGGGAAAGAAAGGAAAGAUACCAAGAUUUUUUUUUCCAUAAGUGAGGAACACUCUUGAACUUCAUCUUGAAAGAGAGUUAUAUGUUCGGUAGUGAUGUAUGAAUAAGGUUGCCCAGGAAAAUGGUGGAAAAGCACUUAGGUACAUCACAGAGAAAAUAAUGUGAACAAAUUGUAUCCUGUGCUAGAUGUGGACACCAGAGAAAAUUAGAAAGCAAACAUGGAUGGGAUAAUAGAAAAGCAAUUAUGAAAGAUUAAGGAAUUUGAACUUUGCUUCAUAUAGUACAAUGGCAAAUCUAUCAGCAUGGAUAAGAGACUGGGAAGGAGAAAUAUUAAGAAAAGGAAAACUUCUUAAGACAUAAUUAAAUUGAUUGAGAUGUGAGAUGAUGAUGAUCUGAACUAAAACAAAUAUUGAAGAUGGAGAGGAACUACAUGAUGAUACAAAUGACACAAGCUAAGAUGAUGUGAUUGGUAGAGUACAGGACUAUGGUACGGGAAAAGAAGGAGAGUGGUAGAUUCUUAGAUGGGUGUCUGGUGUGAAUGAAUGGGUAGAUGGAAAUGUCACUUGCAGGAAGUUGAGUGGGGAUAAGAUAAUUAGUUCUACGUGGGCAGGUUGUAUUUGCAGUGCCUAAGAGAAGCCAUCUAGUUUGCUUAAAGAUUAGAAAGAGUAAAAGAUACAUGGAUUUCAAAAUAUAUGGGCUCCACAAACUAUGUUAAGUUCAUUAAGAUUUUAUUCUUCAGUGUCUAUAUACCAAAUCCUAAGAGAAGGAAAAGUAUGCAGGUCAGUGUUCAGCGAGAAAUUGAGCUUUCCCUGGACUAUAAUGUUUAACUACAUUUCACAAUGAUGUGGUUCAUUUCUUUGGAAAACGAUUACUGACUCACCAUGUUCCCCCCAUACAGAUAAUCAGCAUCUCUCCAGAAUUCCUGAACAGCACCUCUCAAAAGGGAUCCCAGAAAUUCCAGUUGCACAAGAUAUAUUCCCCCACCAAAAAAAAAAAAAAGUUCCAAAGCCAAGUAAGAUUGAUGCUAAAAAUUUAGAAGGUUCAUUUAUUUCAUUUAUUUAUAUACAUUUGUGAGAGUAGUGCAUUAAAGAAAUCUUCCAGGGGCUGGGGUUAUGGCUCAGCGGUAGAAUGCUCACCUAGCAUGUGUGAGACACUGGGUUCAAUUGUCAGCACCACAAAAAAAAAAAUAAAUAAAAUAAUGGAAUUGUGUCCAACUACGACUAAAAAUAUAUAUAUAUUUUAAAAAGGACAGAAGAAGUCUUCCAGCUGGGACUGGUGGAACAUACCUGUAAUCCCAGAGACUCUGGAGGCUGAAGCAGGGGGAUCAUAAGUUCAAAGCCAGCCUCAGCAAUUUAGCAAGGUCCUAAGUAACUUGUGAGACCUUGUCUCAAAAUAAAAAAAUAAAAAGGGAUGGAAUGUUGCUCAUUGGUUAAGCAACCCUGGGUUCAAUCCCUGGUACUAAAAUUUAAAAAAAGUUAAACUAUUUUCUAAUUCAGUUUUGUUUUAACUGUUCGUUAUUACUUUAGGUGAGGCAGAGGAGUAGGAUAGACACAGAUAAAAGAGAGAAACCAGAAGGAGUUUCAUGGUUUUAUUAUACCUACAGUUACCUGGAGAGAACACAGAUAGGGCCACCCAGGGGGAGCAGCAAGGUCAGCCCCGACUCAGAGAGUGAGAGUGGAACUUUUAUCUUGGUUCCUGCACGAAGGGAUGGACACAGCAUGGUAGGCAGAUGAAGGAUCCACCAACUGUUUUUGAAAGUGGUGGCCCUGUGAAAUUCAUGUUCCCUGUGACUAUUAAAGCAUAGAGUUUAGAGCUGUCUAAAGUCUCCAGAUGAUUUAGAGCAAGCCAGGUAUACUUGGAAAUAGUAGUUAUCUUUUGGUAGAUGUUACAGCUUCAAUUUACAGAAAUUAAAAGCCUGGUGAAUACAAGUCUCCCCAGUAUUUAAACACAGAGCCCUUUCAUUAAAAAUCUUAAUAUUCCACAAAAUUAGAAUUCCUGGGAAUGCAUCUUAGAGGAUUUUUCCCUGGGUCAAAUUUUAGCCCAAACCAUGUAAAUCCAGGGAGAUAAGACACCAUCAUUUUAUUUUGUAAUAUCAACUUUAUUGCUCAAGUACCUAAGAAACUUUGCAAAAAUUUCCAAAAAAUAAUGUGUAUGUCUUUUUACAUAUUUUGGCAACAAUCGCUUAUCUCUCUUUACUAAUCAGAAACAACAACAACAACAAAAAAAAAAAAAAACUUCACAUAGACAAGUUUUCCAAUGUUAGUCUUACUGAUUUGCAGGCAAGAUAUAAAGUCAUUGUGUUGUUUGUUUGUUAAUUUUUAUAUCCAAGUAGAGUAACACACAUUUUCAAUGUUCAUGGGACUAGUGAACAACCUGGAAGAGAUGCUCAAUUAGGGCUGUUCUAUGUCCUCUAACUUUCGAUGACUAAUAGUAUGUUAAUUGACUUGUAGUCAUUCAUAAAGGGACAGACAAUCAGGAGUAUUUGUUGAGUACCCUGCUUUAGGCUAUAUUUACCAUAUAUUGUUCUGGUCAAGUUCUCUAUUCUGUGUUCACCUCCAGACAUUGCCUAGACAUCUGACUUCUGAUGCUCUAAAAAAGUUUGAAAUUUCUUUCUAACUUUUGGUAGUUACACUACCUUGACCCAUAAAAUUCUUAAUGAAAGUAAAAAAAUAGAAUAGCAACUCCUGCAGUAUGAGAGAUGUUUCAUAUAUGUGUAAAUGCUCAGGGACCUUAUUCUCUGUGUCUAUUCUUAUCUGCUGUGCUUUUGCAAUGAGGCAUCCUGAUAGGAGUGUACUGGCAAGAGUAGGUGCCAGCUACCUGCUCUCUAAAGGAGUUAAGUUUCCCUUCCUAAGCACCUCAUGAGGAGCAGAGGGUAGCUUGGGUUCUGUGCCUUUUGCUGAGAGUGGGCUGCAGAGAUAAGGGCCAGUUAUGACAGCUGUAUGAAUAAUAGCCUUGAAGCCAGUCUGAGGCUAACCUGCUUUGUCCUUAGUUCUGAUAUCCAGGCUCACAGCAGAAAAUGCACCCAGGAAGACUCAGAGAAAGAGAAAACUUCAAGGAGCCAUGGAGCAAAGAUUCAAGUUUAGACUUGAAAUAGCAAUAAAUCACUGUUGAAAUAGGAAGAGUUAGACCACAGACACACAGAUGCCUGAGAAUACUUACUUCUCCUUUUAAACAGUGUCUCAUUUAAUUUCCUAGAUCCCAGUUUAAUUUCUGUUUAUGUAGAUACUAUAUUAGUCCACAUCGGCUACUAUAAUAAAAUACCGUGAACAGGAUGGCUAAUAAACAAAAGAAACUUUUUGCUCACAGUUCUGGAGACUGAAGUCCAAGAUCAAGGUGCCUGCACAUUUGGUGGGGUCUGGUGAGGUCUUGUUUUCUGGAUCACAGAUCACACUUCCUUGGCAUAUGCUCACAUUUUGGAAGGGGAGCUCUCUGGGACCUCUUUUCUGAGGACACUAAACCUAUUCAUGAGCCCUUAUGACCUAAUCACCUCCCAAAGCACCAUCACAUUCCUGAUUAGGUUUCAACAUAUGAAUUUUAGGGAAAUGCAAACAUUUAGUAGACACUUUAAGGUAAUUUCUUUUUUCCCAUGAAAAGGACUAGACCUUGACAUUUUCAUCUUUGACCCUUUAGUUAUCUAAACUAGAGCUGCAGCCUGGCAAGCUAGUUGAGUGUGCAAAAUCACGGAACACCACUGCCAUCUGCUGUGCCUGCCAGAAUACCACACCCACCCUCACAGCACAGAUUCCAAAUAGAAAGAUAGGGAUAGCACCUCCACCACUGCCUGGCUAGUGAUCAGUAGAGCUGCCAUAACAGCACACUCCAGUCUGAGGAAUUUGAACAACAGCAACUCAGUUUUCUUUCAGCUCUGGAAGCUGAAAUUUCAAGAUCAAGGUCUUGGCAGGUUUGCUUUUCCUGAGUCUCUUUCCUGGGCUUGUAGACUGCAUUCUCUCACUGCCGGUGUCCUCACAUGGUCUUUUUCUGUGUGUCUCUUCCUUAUCUUAUAAGGACUUCAAUCCUAUUGGAAUGGAGUCCUAGCCUUGUGAACUUAUGUAAUUUUAAUCACCUCUCCAAAGUUGUUUCAAUCUUUAAAUAUAGUCUUACCAGAAACUAGGUCUUCAAUUUAUGAAUUGAGGCAGGGGAUACAUACUGCAGUUCAUAAAACCACAUCCAAGCACAUAGCCCACCCCCCACAUGCAUACCAUGUGCUUCCUGGACAUUUGAAAAUAUCUAUAGAGCUAGCCUCCCCUUGCUGAUGUAUCAAAUGCCAAUGGGUCAGGGCUUCAGAGCUGUAAUGCUGUCUCAGUGCCUGCAUGCCCACUGCCCACUGAGAAUACUUACUUACAGGAGCCCCCAGCUAACACCUCCUGCUAUGGGUGCUCUUCCUUCAGAUGAGUAGUUAUUCACCAGAAAGAGACCCCCUGCUCUGGCAGGGGUGCCGUAACCAGGGAACCUUAUUUGAGCAGGGCAACCCUGCAACACACUUUUAUAUAUUUGUUCAUGACAAGACAGCAAUCGAUCUUGGGAGGAAAAGCUUACUCCAAGACACCAGGCAGCCAUGCUCUGCUGUGUUUGUGGCAGAGAUCUUCACUGAACCAAUCUGUCACUAGGCGUGAUGAGUUUUCCUUGCAGCUCCCAAUCUUUUCUAUUCCCCUCUACUUAUUCUCUUUUACAGUAUUUGAAAAAAGAAAUUUUCAGAGACUCCUGGUCUGGUAUGUUUUUUUAUCAUAUAUGUAAUUCUUCUGUCUCACUUCAUCCCCAGCUCUUCUGUGUACCAGUGGGAUAUCCACUUCAGUGACAGAAUUGAGAAUUUGUCUUUAUGUUUUGUUAGCAUUGUUAACAAUUAAAAGAAAUCCAUACAGCCAUGGAAAAUGUCCCUAAUUCAUGAAAGAAAAAAAAAAUUCAUUGUCAUAUUAUUUCUCGACUUUUGUUAUGUUUCCUUAACAAAUUUGUUCUUAAUAGUUAAACUCAACGUUGGUCCUCUUGCAAACGAAUUCAGUUUUCUAAGUACAGUCUGUCUUCCAUAUCCAUGGUUGCAACCAACCAGAUAUCAGAAAUAUUUGGCAAAAAUUUUCCAUCUAUGCUGCAUUCCCCAAAUAACACAGAAUAAAAAUCAUUUAUGUAGUAUUUACAUUUUAUUAGAUAUUAUAAGUAAUCUAGAGAUGACAAAGUAUACAGGAGGUUAUUGUAGGUUAUAUACAAAUACUGUCACAUUUUAUCUAAGGAACUUGAGCAUUCAUGGAUUUUGGCAUCCACAGGAGGGUCCUGGAGCCAAUGUUCCAGAGCUACUGAGAGGGGACUGUAAUCACUAUCUUUUCUAAAAAGAUUCAGCAUAUUUGCAAAUGUUACUAACUAUUGAAAUCAUCUAGGAAAAGACAUGAAAUUUCAUUUAAAAAUAUAUACUCAGGGAAUAAUUUUCAAAGAAAUAUUAAAAAAAUGAAUUCCAGAUGUUUAGACUUAGAAUUAGACAUGUACAUGUAACCACAAACCAAGCACAAAUAAAUGAAAACCUGUCCUGGGUUACCUGAAAUCAAGUGGCCUAGGGAUCAAAGUCAAAGGCAAUUUAUAGAAUCUCUCAUUUGGGAAAAAAAAACACAGAAAAUUAUUCACUUCUCUUGGGAUAAGAAUUUUAUGUUACUUUAGUCUGAUUUUUCUUCUGAAACCUGCUGGCCAACACAUCUACUUAUUGAACUAUGUUCUGUAUGUUUUGAUCAUUUCUCCGGUUUCAGAAUCACUAAAUUUGAAUGCUAUUCUUUGAACAGUCACUCACCACUGCCUAUGGAAAGGGUGAACAGGGGAUCAAGGAGAUAUGUACCUCCCUGUAAAAAUAAUCUUUCUUCCUGGUUACAGAGUAAUGUAGGUUUAAUGCAGAAAGUACAGAAAAUAAAGAUAAAACAAGGGGGAGGAAAGAAAAUGAAGAUGACCCAGUUGAGUCCUGAUUCUCAGUUAACACAUUAGCGUAUGUCUCCUGGUUUUGAUUAGCUGCCUUCCUUGUUGCCUCCCUAUUUAUCACCUGUCAUUCCUCCUAUCAGGUUGUUAGGACUACUGCAUUCUGUUUGGUAACCCGAUCUUGCUUUCUGGUAAUUUAUAAAUCACUCUUCAUUCUGCACCAACGUGUUUAUUUCACUUAUUGAGUUUCAUACUAGUCUUAUACUCAAACAACCAAAUGAAAGAGUAAUAUGUAUUGUUUUUAUGUUAUUGUUUUGUAUCUCUUUAAAACAACUAUUUUAGGAAUUUCAAGGUGACUGAGUGAAACAGUUUCAUCCAUAUCCACUAGUUUCCCAUCAAACUCAAACUUGCCGUUUCUUUCCUCAUCUCUGAACAAGAUCACAUAUUGGUCCAGACUUUGAAUGCCACUAACAUCUAGCUACUCUCUGCAGAAACCUAGUGGGAUCACAAUGGAAGGAGAUGUCACCUUUUCCACUCCCCCAUCACAAGGAUUGAAGUUCUGCAUUUAACUUUAUAUCCUUUGGUUCUGCAUAACAUUUCUUCUGAACUAUGAAUUCUUCAGGGUUUAAAAUGAUAGAAAACUAUGGCCUUCUAGUCUGUUUCAAAGCCUUAAUUUUAUAGACCCAUAAAGAUUAAGUCACUUUCCCAAAGUCACUGAGCUUAUUUGUGAAUUUCUGACAUCCCAUAGUAUAUCUGACUCCCUCAGAAUAAAUGAGUAUUAGAGGUGCCAUUAGGAUCCACACCUGCCAUUCGCUGCUGUAUCUUCAGUAUCGGGCACAUCUCAACCUGGAGGAAGACACAGUAAGAUUCUGGGCCACAUGUGAAUUAAUCACUUGGCUCUCCACAAACAUUUCUUGGACUGUAUGGAAACUGACAAGAAAAUGUGACUUCUCCUUAGAUCUCAGCUUAUUCUAAACUAAAUGAACAGCCUAUUAGAACAAAGCACAUUUUUUUCACUUUCUGAAUAAAUGGAAGGAAAGAGGGAGAAAUAUGUGCUGUAGAUGGCUACAUAUGCCUGCUGCCAAUCACAUGCAAGUUUCUAUCAGUGAUAAUGGUGUUCUCUAAAGCGAAACAUCAUCUUUAUAUUGUCUCCAAAAUUAGCUAGCACUGGUCUCUUUUUCAGCCUUCUAUCAAAUUGCUCCCUCUUGUGGUCCCUUAAAACACAUGAGUUCUAUGUCUAAAUUUUUGUCCAUUCAAUUUGAGGGUGGUUCUUCAACAAUCAUUUCUUGUUUUCUCUUUUCUCACAAUAUCUCUUCCAUGAUACUAUAUUGCUUUCACUCACACAAACGCACACAUAAACAUACGCAUGCAUACCAUGUUCAUCUUUAAAUAAAUCUAAUCUUUCCAAGUCAAAAAUAUUAAGUAAAAGAAACUGAUUUAUUCUCUGUUGAUUUAGAAUAAUCAGGGCUUGGCUUCUAAAGCAUUGGUGCCAAGGUGACACUAUUCAGAUAAACCAAGAAGGACCCUUAAAUGGGCUGUAUAAAAGAGGUAUUUUAUGCAGAAAUACCUGUCAGGGUGAACUGAAAUUAUCCUGUAGAUGCGAAAUAUUCACGAUGUUUUGAUCAGCCUCAAUAGAAAAGAAAGAGUCUGUGAUGGAAAGAGAAGCGGUGCCUUUUACAGGAAUGAUUGAUAAAAAAUCUUCCAUUUUGAUCAUUUCACUUCUUCCAAUUGUGCAGACACCACCCACCCGUGGUGGCUGUUCUGUGCUUGUCACCUCACCAACUCCCUCUACACUCACAGAGAUAAUGACACAAGGAAGAAAGUAGCCAAGUUACAGAAAAAUAGGACUUUUUUUUUUAGCACCAAAAUGUUGAUAAACAUGCUCACAAAAUAAAGUCACUGAGAUCUCCUCUCCAAAGAAAAAAAUGCAAACAAGACAAAGGUAUCCCAGGAAACAGAAUGCUCUCUAAAAGCCCUCCAGAUAAGAAACACCCUGAGAAGAUGACAUCAGUCUUUUGAUGAAUGAUGUUGGUUGGUGUGCACUUCAUUACACCCAGGUGGGUUUAGUUUGGGAUUUGGCAUCUAAGAGAAAAGAAAGCUGGGCUUGGCUAUCUCCUUCUUAAUACCUGGAGGACAGAGAAACACAAUCUCCAAAUACUGCCCUCAGGUAGGCGGAAUGAAAACACCUUAGCCUUACAUGCAGGCACUGAAAGGGAGAUUUGUCCACAGCAAGCCAGCGCAAACCCUCAAUCCUGUGUGACAUUUAAAUGAGGUCACUCCAGCAGAGGAUACACAAGAAGGCCUCUGCUAUGAUUGGUUGGCAUCGUGUGGCAGGGAAUGAAAGAGAAACAAACUUAAAACUCACAGGAGGUGUGAUUUGUUUAAAUAAUAGAAAGUAAUUAGGCUGAAGACAAAAAUCAGUGAUGGCAUUUUAUAAUUACGAUUAAUUUAAAGGUUAAUUUCCUUUGGUGCAAAAAUCUUAUUUAAAACAUUUACCAGGAAAGGAAAUUAGGAUGUUACUAUCAAGAGGCAUACAGCACUUCUGGGAAUCCAUGCCUAUUAUCACAUGAAAAUUAGGUUAGGUCCAGAGUAGGGAAUUCAAUUCAUUUUUAUGUAUAAUAGGUGGUAGCCAGACCUCAGAGCCAGCAGGGUUGGCUGGGGCAGGCAGUGUAAAAUUUGCAUUUGUUUGUUUGUUUGUUUAUAGGAUUAAUUGCAAAUGUUCCCAACAAAGGAGCCUAGUUUAUACAUGAACAAUCCUGACACAAGAAGAAAAUUGGAUAUGGAUUGCUGCCUUUGUAACUAAUGAAGUUGAUGUCAAAGGAAUCCCCAAGAGUGGGGCUGCAAAGGGAAGCACCCAGGCCCACAUUCAUACUCCAUCAUCACUGAGUUAAAUUGGAUGGGGGACAGUACUUCUGAGGGCCCCAACCCUGUCAAAUCCUACUCUCCCUUCCCAGUCUGACAUUUUAUUCAAUUACUCUUUUCCCACUGGGAAUUGUCAUGCCUCAGGUUCCAAAUGUCAUAUGCACUCAUUCAUGUGUAUCCAUGCAGGAUUGCUUUCAGGACACCCCUGGCCCCAGGGCUACCAAAAUCUACCGAUGUUCAAGUCCCUUAUAUAAAAUGGCAUAGCAUUUGUGUAUAACCUACACAAUCCUCUAGUAUAUUUUAAAUAAUCUUUAGAAUACUUAUAAUACCUAAUAAAAUGUAAAUGCUAGGUAAAUAGUUGCUGUAUUAUAUUAUUUAGCAAAUAAUGACCUGGAAAAAAAAAAAAACAAAUCUUGGGGGCUGGAGUUGUGGCUCAGUGCUAGAGUGCUCGCCUAUCAUGCAAGAGGCACUGGGUUCGAUCCUCAGCACCACAUAAAAACAAAAUAAUGUGUCCACCUAAAACUAAAGAUACAUAAAUAAAUAAAUAUUUUGAAAAAUCUCUACAUGUUCAGUAUAGACACAACUUUUUCUCCCCAAGUUUUCAGUCCAUGAUUGGUAAUAUCCAUGAAUGUAGAAACUCUUGGAUCUGGAGGACUGACUGUAUACAUAUCUUCUAUGCACAGCUCAACUCCCAGAAAAUUUGCAUAGUAAAAUCAAUGCAUGAUAGUAACAGCCAGAUGGAAAUAACUCCUUUGCACGAUUUUUCCCCAUUCACUAUGUUUUUACAGAUAUGCUCAUUUUAAACAGUUUAUUGCUACCAUUGAUAUGUAAACCAAUCCUAGAAAUACAGAAUUUGCAGAAUCAUAGAUCUAUGAACAAUCUUAGCAAUCUCUUACAUUUUUUGUUGAUGAUCAGGAAACUUGAGUUGUCUUGCAGAAAGUCAAACAACCAUUAGAGGCAGAAGUGGCCUGAAUUAUUAUAAGCCUCCCAAUUAUUAGUAUAUUUUCCUAUUACUUUGCUUGAAUAUCCAGAUAGAUUCUUCCAAUAAAUAUUUAUUGAGCAGCUACUCUGUGGCAGUCAUCAGGGAUGAAGCAGAGAACCAAAUAGAUACACUCUUUGCCUUAAUAAUGACUGUGGUGUAGCACACAAUUCCAAUAGAAAGAGGAAUGAAAAAAAAAACACAGAAAUGCAGACAAAGAAAGUAGGGUACCAUAAGAAUGCACUGCAAGAGAAUCUCAUGUAGUUUAGAAGAAAAGGACAUUCCUUCCUGAGGAAGUGACACUGAAGGACAAGUCAGAAAGAUAUAUAGGUUUUUAAAAAACUAUGCACAUCUUUUUAAGAGAAAACUACGUUUUUACUAUUUGUGCCCAUGUUGACUAGAUGUACACCAUAUUUCACACAAGUACAAUUUUAAAUGUUUUUAAUGAGCUCAAAAUAACAAAUCUGGUUUCAAUCUGCUCAUGUAUCAAUAAAAUGCUAAGAGUAAUCACAGGACAUUCUCGUUCCUGAAACUGCUACUCUUGUUCUACUAAGAUGAUUAUGAUUAAUUUAGGCUCAGGCGUUUUGUGAUUUUUCUACUCUGGAGGCUGAAAAAAUGAUAAAAGAUAAUGUCAGCAAAAAUUACAACGUGAGGAAUACUUCUCUAAUGAGUGAUUAUAGCAUGCAUGUUUAUUUUUUUUAUUUCCCUAAAUAUACAUAUGUUAAUGCAUCCAUGAUCUUAACCAAAACUGCUACAUUUAAAUGGUCUGUGCGUUCUAAAUAUAUCCUGGAUGUCAGCUGAGAAGACAUGCCAAGUUCUGUCUAACUAGCUCACCUAUAACUGUAAUAACUGCUGUUCCCUCCAAUUUUGUCUGAAAGGCAUGUCAUAUAUAAUUGGAAGCAAUUCUACCAGGGUAGAGCAAUACAGAGAAUCCAAUCCAUCCCAGUGGUGUGACACAAAGUGAGCCCAGACAUAUUGAAGGUGAAGUUGACUUAGUUACUUAAUCCUGUUCUGCAUGCUUCUCCACAUUUAUGGAAAGUAUCAAAGAUAUCUGGAUAUGCAAUCUUCCAACUCUUGCUUUACAAUUUCUUCAGCUUCUCAGCUCUACCCCACCUCAUACCACUCACUUCAUCCACCCGCUUCAUUUUCUUCAUUAUGGAAGGUUAUACUGGGAUCACCUUCAGUAUGGUGGUAGAAGGUUUGUCUAAGACCACCUAUUCUUGAAAUUCUCCAACCAGCUGUAGACUCCUAUCUUUUCCAUUCAUUCUUCUGCCUCCUUCCUGAAAGAGGUGUCUUAACCGCUAUUUGGGAGCUUCCUUGCACUAGAAUCCUGGGCUUUCUCAUGCUUCCCAUCUUCCUACCCUUCAUCUGUCCCCAGGGUUGGCAAAAGUGGUGGUACUCCCAUAACCCUACCUCCAUGCUUGGCUUUUCAACAUCCGUGCCUGAGGAGGCUCAGAUUCCAUUUCUCCACUUCUCAUCCUGGGUAGUUUCCCAAUGCUGGAGAGUCACUAUGCCCCGCUGCCUAUGUGUACUUGCUUCACCCAGCUGGAUGCUGGUCCUGCUUAACAGUGCUUUCUACUCUUCAGCCCACAGUGUGCCACACUCUCCAUGGGACCUGUUCCUAACCUUUCCAGCCUUCUUAAACCAAAUACUCAAAUCUGAGAAAGUCAGUGCUAUCAAACAAAAACUCCUUGGAUUUCCCCUCCAGAACUCAAUACUUCUCUACACUGAUGAUUAUUCUUUUGCCUCUUUAAAACUGUGCCCAAAUCUGAGAAGAACAGGUAAGAUUUUCCCCUGCAAAGUAAUUCAUCCACUGAACUUGACCUUCUGCCUGCCUAAUCCAGGAUGCAGGUCUUUCCAUGUCCUUAUUCUCAACCACUCCUUUGGACAGCUUCCUUUGCUUAUAUAUUUGUUAGGCUUCAAGGACCCAAACACCAGAUUGGUCCUGCCUCUCUCAGUCCUUUCUGAUAAUGUACAAGGUGAUUUCCAAAACUAUUUGAAAUAUGGAAAUUCAGUUCUAUGUAUUUGGGUUUUAGUAUAAAAUAAUCUUUCUGGGUUUUUUUUUUGUCUGUUUGUUUGUUUCUUUUUGAUUUUACAUUAGGCCACAUGGGGUAUUUUAUUGCUUGUCAGACUAUAUAGUUAACCAACUGAGUAGUGUCUAAAGGGUCUCCAUAGACCUGCUCAGUUCUCCUCAGCUUCUGUUGAUGGCUUCCUCUCUUACGUUCCUAGUAGUACAGAGUUCUUUUAUUUAAGUUUUUUUUCUCCAUCUAGUCUCCUGGAUAACAUAAUUCUAAUCACAUUAGUAAAUAGCCUAAAUAUACAUUUUAAAGCAUAAUUCCAAUCAACCCUCUUGUAUAAAUCCUUUUUCCAAAAAAGAUGGGACCCUGAAUCUAAACAUAAUGUUUUUUUAAAUAUUUUUUAGUUGUUGUUAGACCUUUAUUUUAUUUAUACAUGGUGCUGAGAAUUGAACUCAGUGCCUCACCCAUGCCAGGCAAGUGCGCUACCACUGAGCCACAACCUCAGCCUCCAUAAUAUGUUUUUUAUUAUUUCUUUUUAUAUACAUAUGACAAUAGAGUGUAAUUUGAUUUAUUAUACAUAUAUGGAGUAUAACUUAUUCUAAUUAGGAUUCCAUUCUUCCAGUUGUACAUGAUGGGGAAUUUCCCUGGUUGUGUAUUUAUAUAUGAGCAUUGAACGUUAUGUCUGAUUCACUCUACUGUUUUUCCUAUUCCCAUCCCUCCUCCCUUCCCUUUAUNAAAUUCCUUUUGUGCAAGUUGAGUAAGUACCAUUAAAAUUCAUACCUGCAGAGGUAAUGGAUAGACACUCUAUUUUCAUAGGCCCACACAAAUUCUUUAACGUCCUUCAAUGAGUUCUAAAUAUUUAGGCUUAGUUUUCUGUGAACUGCCUUUUAAAUUUUUCCCUCGUGUUUUUUUUUCAGCCCUGUCUCUAAAAGAGUGGUGACUAGUGGCUUUGUCAUUAAUAACCAAGGGACAAUUUUAUAUUACAAUACCUCGCUGCCAACAUGUAUUUAAAAAGGCAGCUUUAGGUUUGCUGAAUUCUGUGUUCAUGAUUUAAAGGUUUAAAUAAAACAGAGAUUCACCACAGGGAAUAUAUUUUAUUAAAGAAUAUUUAUCCAUGAAACAUUUUUCUCUUAUUCUAUUAUUUCUAAAUUCUACUAUUACUAACAUGACUAAGUCGUAGCAAUUUAACUGAUAUGGCAUUUUACUAAUUUAAAAUAAUUGGAUUUCCCUGUGCAUACCCAGAUAGCAGAUAGGAAAACUAAGGCUAAGAGAAAACCCUGUAGCCACACUUGCAAAGAAAAUGAUAACAUUCCUGAGUUGUCUUUUGUAGAUGAUUGAUAUGUCUGAUACCUUGAUUGUGGUGAUGGUUUCAUAGGUAUGCAAAUACCAAACUCCUCAAACUGUAUAUAUAAAGUAUGUUUGGAAUGUCAGUAGAGGGGGCAGAGAGAGAAGAGGGGAGGGGAGGGGAGGGGAGGGGGGAUAGUAGAGGAUAGGAAAGGCAACAGAAUACAACAGACACUAGUAUGGCAAUAUGUAAAUCAAUGGAUGUGUAACUGAUGUGAUUCUGCAAUCUGUAUAUGGGGUAAAAAUGGGAGCUCAUAACCCACUUGAAUCAAAUUGUGAAAUAUGAUAUAUCAAGAACUAUGUAAGGUUUUGAACAGCCAACAAUAAAAAAUUAAAAAAAUAAAAUAAAAUAAAUAAAUAAAGUAUGUUUGGAUUUUGUAUACCAACUACACCUCAACAAAGCUAUUUUUUAAAAAUCCUGAGUUGUCUUUGAAGGGUCAAAGAUAAACUCCUCCAAUGAGGCAAUGAUUGAACAAACGCAAGCUCUAUUAUUUUGUCACUCUCUGCCUAGUUGUGAGUCUCUGCUUAGGAUGCCACAAACUAUCCAGAAAGAGAAUCAUGUAUUUCCUACCAAUGAUUAACAUUUGUGAUGCUCUAUGGCAUUCAUUAAUGAAUUACCCUCUCAACCUAGCCAUGUUAAUGCUAAAGCACAUCCUAGCUUCUUUUCUUCCACCGUCCUUGACCAGAAAAGUUGCAGAGGUGGCUUCUUACCAUUGAUAUCCAAAAAGAUUCUUGUGUUUAUCUCAAAGCACCUAACUGACAACUAACACUCCAAAUCUUCUAUGAAAUAUUUUUGCUUUUCUUACAUCAUUCAAGACCUUGUGGAAGAAAGGAUAAAAACACUCAAUCCAAUUUCAUCUGGAAACUUUGCUAGCAUCUUCCAUGCACUGAUUAAGUGCCUUAUUUUCCUUUGCAGCCUAAAGGGUCUAUGGAGUUCAUUCAGUAAAUAUGAAUUGAGUGUCAUCCAUGAGCCAAAUAUUGUUCUGAGUUCCCAGGCUAUUGUCAUAAACAAUAAACAAUAAAGAACAGUAAAUCACAUGCAGCUUACAUCAUAGUGGCAGAGGCAAUCGACAAAUAAAUAGAUUUAUAAUAUGUCAGGUAGAGAUAGGUUGCAAUGAAGCCAAUAAAGCUGAGUGAGAAAACAGAAAUUCAUCUCUAAAAUCUCAGCAAGUCCCCAAUUCACCUUGCACCAAUUACAUUUAUUUUUUCCCUUUUCCUGGACCUUGCUAAUUGGGUGCCACUCAUAACUUAAAAACUGCAUUUCCAAAAGGAAGCCAGACACCAGCUUCUUCCUGACAUUCUUUUUUGUUCUAUUGAAAGAGGCAACAUUACCCUAACAAAAAACCUUCUGAGAAUCAACCUUGACUCUUUCCUUCCCCUCCCCUUCCUCAUGUUCAAACACUAUAUGUUUCAUGUGUUCUACCUCGUUGUCUAUUUAUUUUGCAUUCAUUGACGUCUUUCCUUUCUCAUCCUCCUAAUUCUAACUCAGGACUUCAGCAACUCCCCUUUCACAUUUUCUAUUGAGCAUUGAAGUGUAACACUGACAAUAUGACACAUUGAAAUAAAGAAAACAUCCCUUAUUACUUUGCAAAAACCUCACUAUAAUAAGAGUGGUGCAAGAUGGUGCUGAUAAUACAAACAAUUUUCAGAAGGAAGAACUGCUUAAGUGCUUAUGUGGUGGCUUGCAUCAUUUAUUAGACAAAAGCCAAUGAACUAAGCCUUGAGUUGCACCUGCCUCAUCGCCUUGCGAGACAUAUUGCAGAACUCACAACACAUCAUUGGUAACUGUCACUGGUGGAUACAGCCCAGUGGCAACUGUGUCAGUCACUGUUCACAUCACAAUAUUUCUAGAAUAUUAGAUUGGAGAUGAGGAGGAGACAAAAAGAGCAAAAAUUUCCAGGAACACAAAUAAUGAUGCUGGAGAAUAAAUAAUAAAAGAAGACCCUAUAAUCUGUAGAGAACAUAAAAGAAAUACUCAAAACUAUUGGCAAAUAAUGUGGAAAGAAAAUAAAAUUCUAAAGGUUUUAGAUUUAAUCCAACGUGUGACUUGAAACCUUUGAUCACCUUUGAAAAGGUUCCAGGAAUUUACUAGAAUGGCAAGAGUGAAAGCAGAAUAUACUUGGAAGGAAAGAAAAUACCUGACUUCUAGUCCCAUCUUCUGCUGUUUACUGCCUCCAGCAAUAAACCUGUAUUCAUUUGUAAAAUGAAGAUAAUUAUUCCUACCCACCUGACAGUAAUAUUGUAAAGAUAAAUGAUAUCUCUUGAAAGAGCUUUAGGCACUAUUAAACACUUCACAAUUGUUGGGAAUGUAUUUUAUUUUUAUUUUCAGAAAUUAAAGAGAUCUUUAUUGAUAAAAGAUACCCUUUUUCAAAACAAUGCAGAGGUGGGCUAUGACCCCACAUGUAACUCUUAUCAUAAUUACCUGGAGAAGGAUCUAUCAGCUGUUUCAUAAUCCCUAUUGCUCAGAAAAAUUUUACAGUAAGCAGUAGCUCCUAUAAAGUCUGAAGAAACAUUUAAAAGAAAUUGAGAACAGAUCGAAGUGGUAUUAAAGAUAUCUUUAAAACGUAAGCCAACCCCAGUAUUUCAAUUUUUUGAGAGUAAUAAGGCCAUUUCAUCCACCUCUGCUCACCACCCAUGUGGCAUCCUAAAGCAUUCUAUAAGGCACUGAAAGACUGUUUGUAAAAGGGUUCAGAGAUCAGGUUUACCUAGCUGAUUCACUUUGGUCCUAAUGGUGGUCAACUGGUUACAGCUGAUUUCUACUCCUCCCUAAAGUCACUUAGAAAGACAUCCAAACAAUUACUGAGAACCAAAUGCACAUGGAAAUUGUCAUGCACAAUUUCCUAGGCUAUGAGCUCUGGCAUGUAUUUCAUGUAAACUAUAGAAAAUAUGCCCUGUGCUACUGGCUUAAAUUUGAAUGUCCCCUCCUGAGUUAAAUAGUGAAAAUCACCCUGGUUAUAUUCAGAGCCUCUUCUUUUUCUCAUCUCCAUCGUGGAUCUCUGACUGUUGGAACAUUUUCCAUGACCCAGUCCAACUGAACACUCAGAAGAAUCUGGAAAAUUGGGCUCCUUCCUUUGGAGUUUGCGUUCUCCUCCCCAAUUGGGUAGCUAUGAGCCAGUUCUACCCACACUCCCAACAUAUAGAUCAUGGCAAAUAAAGAGCAAGCCCCAGAGGAUUCAAACUACAUUCAAGUUUAGGCACUAUUAAAGUUCAGGAUAUUCAUGUUCAGGACACACCAUAAGUCCUUCCUGGCCUCUCCCUGCAUCUUAGGGAGGUCUUCAUUGUGCCUUACUCAACUUUAGUCUCCACUUUUGGUCCUACUUCCAUCUUUUGAACUUGAAGAUUUAUCUUAUUUCCCCAGGUACUCCAUCCCUAGGUGUACUCCAAAAUCUUUGGUUCAUAAUCACCAUCUGGCUUAUCUGCAGUCUCUGGAAACAAGCUAAUGAAAUAUCUCAAAACAACAACAAUAACAAUAACACAAUAAAUCUGGAUCUCAAUUUCAUUGAGACCUUAUUGCUUAUUUCUGUCCUCCAUCUACUGUGGCCCACUCUAUUUUCUAGCACCAAAGUCAUGAAGCUUUAACCCUGUGAAUAAUUCUCAGGAAACUUGUUCAUAAUUAAGUCCAUUGUUGGCAAGAGCUCACCCUAAAAAUGUGAAUUCAGGCACUAAAGCACUAGUCUUAAAAAAAAAAUUCUCAAAGUACAAACUGUCGAUAGUGUUGCCAUUUAAUUAUUGUACAGCUCUUCUGAUAUUGUCUAUAUAAGCUAAGAUACAAAUGUGAACAAUGUAGAAAACAAUAGAAAUUCACUUUUUAAAUUUUUCUUCUAUAAAUUUAAAUACAUGGUAAAGUUCCAAAGCUGUCACCAAUUUAGAAUUUGUAACCUGCCUAAGAUAACACAGCCAUCAGGUAGACCAAAUAGUACUUAAACUCAUGUCCUCCUAAUAUCAGGAGCUCUGGUUGAUCACUACAACUCUCCACUUCUGAUAAGGAAAAAGAGGCUAUCUACCUCACAAAAAGUGUUUCUCACCACUUCUUCGCCAACACUUAUUGUUGUGUGUAUUCUUAAUAGCUGCCACUCUGACUGGAGUGGUAGGACUGCAAAUUGGUGCAGACAAUCUGGAAAGCAGUAUGGAGAUUCCUUGGAAAACUUGGAAUGGAACCUCCAUUUGAGCCAGCUAUCCCACUCCUCGGUUUAUACCCAAAGGACUUAAAAACAGCAUACUACAGGGACACAGCCACAUCAAUGUUUAUAGCAGCACAAUUCGCCAUAGCUAAAUUAUGGAACCAACCCAGAUGCCCUUCAGUAGAUGAAUGGAUAGGGAAACUUUGGUAUAUAUACAUAAUGGAACAUUGCUCAGCACUAAAAGAGAGUAAAAUCAUGCAUUUGCAGGUAAAUGGAUGAAGUUGGAGAAUAUAAUGCUAAGUGAAGCAAGCCAAUCCCAGAAAAAUAAAGGCCAAAUGUUUUCUUUGAUAUGCAGACGCAUAAUGGCAAUUGUGGGAGGGUGGGGCAGGCAGGUCUUGGGAUGAAUGGAGGAACUUCAGAUAGAACAAAGGGAAGAGGGAAAGGAGGGGACAAGGGGGUAGGAAUGAUGGUGGAAUGAGUUAGAUAUCAUUACCCUAAGUAUAUGUAUAAGACAAUAAUGGUGUGAAAAUACAUUGUAUACAAUCAGUGUCUUGAAAAAUUGGGCUCUAUAUGUGUAAUAUGAAAUGAAUUGCAUUCUUCCAUCAUGUAUAACAAAUCAGAAUAAAUUUUUUAAAAAAGUAUUUCUCAUGAUUAAAAGAAACCAACUACAUGUCACUAAAAGACAUGAAGUAGCCAGGUACAGUGGCUCAUGCCUGUAAUCCCAGCAACUCAGGAGGCUGAGGCAGGAGAAUUCCAAGUUUGAGGUCAGUCUCAGCAACUUAGUAAGGCCCUCAGCAACUUUGAGAGACUCUGUCUCAAAAGUUAAAAAAAGAAAAAAAAAAGGCUAGGGAUAUGGCUCAGUGGUAAAAAACACCUUUGGGUUCAAUCACCAGUACCAAAAAAUAUAGAAAUAAAUAAAAAACUUAGAGGAAACUUAAAUGUAUAUUACCAUGUGAGAUAUAUAUAUAUAUAUAUAUUCAAUAUUUGAAUAUAUAUAUAUAUAUAUAUAUAUAUUCAAAUCAAUGACACUUGUGAUAGAUAAAAUUAUGGAGACAGUGAAAAAUAGUGAUUACCAAAGGAUGAUGGGGAGGAAGACAUGGUUAGAUAGAACACAGAGUAUUUUUAAGGCAGGAAGUCUAUUUUGAUAGUAUAAUAGUGGAUACAUGCCACACACUUGCCAAAACCAAUAGAAUUUGCAACACCAAGAGUGAAGACCAAUGUCAAUGAUGGGCUUGGGGUGAUAAUCAUGUGUCAACAUAGGCUCAUCUCUUGUAACUCCAUCUCUGAUAGAGAUGUUGAUAGUGACAGAGGCCAUGCAUAUAUAAGGCAGGGCCUUGAGGAAUCUCUGUAUUUUUGCUAAAUUUUGCAAAAGCACAAAUUAAAUUCACCUAAAAUGCUCUAAAAAAUAUGAUCUUUUUUUUUAAAUGGGAAAGGGCUUCCUCAAAGCACAGAUAUCACAGACUUUAUGUUACAUUGCCCCUUGCUUUAGUUUCCAUAUGGAGAACCCCAGGAUAUUGACAAGAGAACACAAACUUGAUAAAGUAAGCCAAUAGGAUACAAUACUAGAAAAACUCGAGGUGUCUUAGUGCAUCCUAAUUCAACCUCUAUUUCCCUGUGCCUUUCUUUCCUGUAAUCUAGCUCAUCAGCCUCCUGUUGUUUUGCCUUUUAUCUUCACACACAACCUCUAUAUCCAGAAAUAAAAAUGAAAAAAAUAUAAACUUUUUCAUGUCACUAUUACUAUUUACUGUCUCCAUUACCAUUUCUGUCAAAACUUUGAGGUAUAAGACAAUCAUUUACUAUGCUCAUAGAUUCUGUAUGUUAAUAACUCAGGCCCAGAGGAAUGGAUUAUCUCUCUUCGAUGAUGUCAGGAAUCUGAGCUGGGAAGACUUCAAAACAGAACUGACUCAACAUUUGGGGUCUGGAAUCACUUAGAGGCAUUUUCUCUCAUAUGUCCGGAUGUUGAUGCUGGCUAUGGGCUGGAACCUCACUAGCCUGUCGGCUUCAGCACCUAUGGAUGGUUCUCCAUUGCUCUGUCCAUGUGGGCUAGUUUGUCUUUCCUCAUGCAAUGGUAGCUAUGUUGCCCAAAAGAGCAAGAGGAGUGUAUGACACCUUUAUGAUCUGCCACUGGAAGUCACAUAGUAUCAUUUCUACUAUUUUCAAAUGAACACAAAGGUGUUCCCAUGUUCAAGAGGAAAGGACACAAGCUCAAACCACUGGAUGGGAGGGGUUUAAAGAUCAGGCUGUGAAAACAUGUGGGAUAGGAGAUACUGUUGCAGCCAUUUUGUAAAACAUCAUGUACCACAGUAUCUCUGGUUAUAUCUUAUUGUAUCUUAAAUAUCUGAGUCUGUAUGGCCUUUGAAUACUUCACUCUUAUUGUUUCAGAUUGUAAAACACAUGACGGCAGGGAAAUCCAUGUUGAGUUAACUUCCAUGAACUCUACCACAGCACCUUGUACUCAACAAUCAGAGUACAUAUUAUUGCUCGUGUGCAACUAAUGAUACAUGCCCUUGGGCAAUCAUUAUUUUUAUGAUACAACAUUUAUAACAUGAUACAUAAAAUCUCCAUAUUAUCCAAAAAGGCAUAUGGCAUUUUAUAAUUGCUGGGGAAAAAAGUACAUAGUUUCUUCUCCCAAGUGAAUACAGUCUUAUAAAACAAUAAAUGCAUUUCACCAUUGGAGGAGUGGAAAUAACUACCUUGAAGAAUUUUUUUUUUUUACUUUUUGUCCACAAUUAUUUUUAGUUUAACAGAUUAUUAAAAGACUUAUGUUGUAAUCUGUGUGAACCUUAACCAGGUGUGGGUUCUUCUGUGAAAUUAACUAAUGAAGGAAAUUGUUCCUUUUCAGUUGAUUUCAUAGGUGGCUUUGACUCUUAUGGCUACCAAGGGCCCCAGAAGACGUCUCACUUACAACUUCAGCCUAUGUACAUGUAAGUACCUUACUUUGGAGGUAUUUUUCUGGGAUACCAAAAAAUGGUCAAGAAAAUGUAUCAUGGCACAAAACAGAUGGCAUGAAGCUCUUCUUCAGUUAUGUAUUUUCACUAUUAAUAUUGUUUUGAAUAGAAUAAUUCUGAUAUUUUAUUUAUAUUUUUUUUAAAUUUACCUUAACAGAAAUGCCAUCUCUGCCAUUAGUCCUACAUAAAUAUCACCUACACGACUCAAAAUCCUGUAUAUUAUAUUCCAAGAAUUGAAUUACCACAAAGUUAUAUAUUCUGAAAAUGAUAUAACAUUGCACACUAUUGUAUAAAAACUAUAUAAAAACCAUAUUUUCUGCUUUUCCCAGGUUAGUCCCAGUUUACAUUGGUUGUCCUGGUAUAAUUAUCAGCUUUCCAUAUUUCUCUCAAAAGAGUUCUCAUUUAAAUGCUUAAUUAUAAUUCACCAUGGUUAUACAUAGUAUUCAAAAGGAAAUUUUAAAAACAGAGCAAUGCUCCUUCUCUAUCAUUUUUCUAAUGUGAAAGUGCAAAUGAAACUAGGACAAUAACACUGAAACUUAUCAAACCCUGAACUCUAGCACUCAAGAAAGCAGACAUAUAAUCAGAGCCUGAUUUUUAUAUCUGUGUUUAGGCAAAUUCCCUUGGAUAACAACUGAUAACAAAUUCUAUAUAUCAGCAUCAAGUGAUAUGCUGAAUUGCAAGCGAAGAUCAAAAUAGAAAGUAAGAUUCCAAUUCAUUUUAAAAUGUGAACUUCUCUCUUUGAAGAUAUGUGUUUGUUGUCCUUGUCCUCCACCAUUAAAUCAUUUACCUUUUAAUAUCUUUAGUGUAUAGGAUAAUCAAUGGAUUUCGGGGGGUAUUUCUCCUCCAAAGAGACUAAUCUGUAGACAAUCCUUUUAAGCUUCUCUUUAAAAAGAGAAUGAUCCAUGCAUUGUGCCUGCCUUUUUUUAUUUGUGUCCUGGUAGCUCUCUGCAAGCAUUUGCUAUCAUCACUUAUAGAAGAGACUUUAUUAGUUCAGAAGUUAGCGGAUACUAUAUGUCAUUCAAAGCAUUGCGUCUCUAAGCCUUUCUUUACACGCCCACCACCACUGCCCUAACUCCAGCUUCUUCCUUAUUUCAGAACCUCCAUCCCAUCCUCCACAUGGCCUGCCAAAUUAAUCUUCACAAAGUACUAUUCUGAGAAUUUCACCUCUCUGCCCAAAAGCCAUCAGUGACUCCCUGUUACCUACUGAACAGAAUCCAAACUUGCCAUAGCCUGCAAGUCUAACCUGACCUGGCCUCAAUAUUUUAUUUAAAUAUCUUCUCUUCAAGUGCUAAUAAUGUCUGAGUCCCAACCACCUGCAGAUGAUGCUGGGAGUUGGUAGGGGAAAUGUAAUAGUGAAUGAAAACUGGCCUAGCCUCCUUAUGCUUUGAAUCCAGUGAAUUCAUAAAUAGACUGGUAUCUUCCUUCAAGUCAUUUUUUCCCAACCAAAUUCAACUCUUGCCUUAUCCAAAAAAAAGGACACAGUUAUUUCCAAUUGUCCUACUGUUCUUUUGACACCAGAUAUUAUAAUUUUCCCCAAAUUUUGCUCUUUGAAACCUCGCUGUCUUUAAAUUUUAUUUUAAAAUAUACUUCCUAUAUAAAAUAUUUCUCAACAUUAUUUUCCUCUAAUACGCUCUCUUUUUUAUUUUUUUGCAAUAUACUCUUUAUACUGUAUCUACCCAAACCUCUCAGAAAAAUCUGAUAGCUACAACAAAAAAUAAAAUUAGGCCAGGUGAGGUUGUGUGUACCUGUGAUCCCAGAAACUUGAAAGGCUGAAACAGGGGUAUUGUAAAUUCAAGGCCAGCCUUGAAAUCUUAGAGAGACCCUGUCUCAAAAUAAAAAAUAAAAUGGACUAGGGAUGUUGCCCCAUGGAAAAGUACCCCUCCAUGAAAUUCCAAGAACAAAAAUACAAAAUUAUACAUCUUUUGAAUUAUUUGCCAUUCUUCUCAAUAUUUUAGAGUAAACAUCUGUAAGGUGUUCUAUUUUCAAAGGGCAAAGCAAUCAGGAGUAGUAUACUGCCUGAGAUUAAAUUCAUUGUAACCUUGAUCGUAUAACUUUGUUUGAAAAAACUUUAAUCUCACCAAGCCUAAGUUUCCUCACCUGAAAAAUAGAAAUGACAACACAUGUACUUCAUUUAAUUGUUCGGAAAUUAUAUGAAAAAAUCCAGGUAAAACAUAGAAGACAUAGGAUAUGUCUCAUAGUAAGUGCUUAAUAAACAGUAUUUAUUAACAGUGAAAAUAAUUCUUAUGUCAACCAACAUCAUCAUGAAAAGCCUUAUCAAGUCAUAAAUCUCAUUUCCCAAAGGAUAUCCUCUGUAUAUGACAUAUGACAUAUAAUAUUAGCUCAUGUAACAAAUAACAAUAUAUUUGAACUUAAAAGAGUAGAUCAAAUAUCUACAAGGCAUGCAAUUGCUUGAUAUUGACUAUAUUAUAUAACAUUGCAUUGUGUUAGUCAAUAUAAAUGAUCAGUAAAGAUCUCCAAGCCAUAAUAAAUUAGAUGUAACCACUCAUCUAACUUUAAGCUAUAAUAAUAACAUGAGAAGGCUAAUUAUGCAUAAUGCUAAUUAUAUAUAAUCAGCAUAUUGUUUCAAACCAGGCAUUUAUAAUUCUAAUGUUGAUAUUUAAACAGGGACUUUACAAAAAUGAAUAUCUUUGUCAAUGAUUAAAUUCCUUGAAGACAAAACUUCUCAUGAUUUUGUUAAAUAAAAUAGUUUAAAAGCCAAGUGGAAGUAAUAAAAAUACUGCCCAUGAAUAAUAAAAUUAUAUGAGACCCUUUAAAUUUUGUUGCUUAGGAACUAAUUUACAUGUUUAAUGGAAUUCAAAUCUAAGAAGUCAGGAAUACUUAAGGUACAUAAAAUAUUAAAGUCAAAAUCCUACUAUCACCCCUUCCACAAAGCAUCCCAUAGGAAACCUUAGAUCCUAGAAUACAAAGAUUUUAUUUUACAGGUGAGGAAACUGAAUCAAGAGAAAGGAAAACAACCGUCACACAACUUGUUGGUGGUACAGCCAGGAUUAUCAACCUCUUUUCCUAUCCCCUUAAUUCAGUCCUCAAUAAAUUUUAAGGUGGGCUGUGAGUUCGACUUCAUGUUACAUUCCCUGAUUUUAUUUUCUUGUUGGUGUAGCUUACACUGAUUUAACAGUCAUAUUUCCAUAAAAUUCUGUACCUUCCCCUUUCUGUACAUUCCCUCUAUUCCCUUUUGAUUUUACACUAUGCUAUGUUGAAUGAAGGGCCUUUUAAACUUUGUAACCCUCAAAACCAUUCAUCUGAGAGCGACUGCCUAUUCAAAUCCUGUGAAAAAUCAAAACUGAUUCACCUACAAACCUUCUUCCCUGCUGAGAGGCAGAGACCUGAGCAUCUCCUCUGUUUUUGUCAUUUGGAGUGUGCCUUCUCCUGUCAACUUGCCAUAAAUAUGUCUUGUAAAGUAAGAGUAAUUUAACAUCAUGGGCCAGUUCAUGCACCCUAACAAUAUUAUAGAGCAACUGGAAAUAAAAGCUGUUCUUUUGAAAGAAAGCAAAUGCUAAAAAGUAAUGUGAAGUUUUAGCUGUGGGAUUUUCAUUCUACCCCACAAACCUUCUAUGGCCAGGACCCUGGACAAAGCUGUGAAGUCACUGCCAAUACUGACUGCCGGUCACAGCCCUGUUUCAGUGCCCAUAGCCAAUGAAUGCACGGUCCUUGUUAUUUUGAGUUAGGUUUUGUAAAUGUUCUUGCUUUGCAAUUUUUCAGAUUAUCUAUAAUCCAUCUAAAAGGAAAGGUUUUUAUGUUUUCCCUUACAAUUUGAUAAAUCUCUUUGAAACCAAUUGGUAACUAUAUAACAAAAAGAAUUUCCAUGUCCACAGAUCAAUUUUCUAGCAAUGUAACUACAUGGAAUGCCACAGAAGCAAGCAUAGAUCUGAUCCUGCUUCCGCCCAGUGAGAUGAUCCUGUGGAGUAUUAGGCAGCAUGUGAAAACAGUGCAUUAUAUUGGGCAGCCCAAUUGUACAGUAAUACAUCUUCAUUUCAUUCGUCCCCAGAAAUAGAUUUUUGAAUGACCACAAGUGGGUCUCUCUAUCCAGGCAGUUGCACUAAGGAAAAAGAAAAGGAGAAGAAAUUUAUCUAUCUAAAAUCCAAUUUGGGCUUCUUCUCUUUUCUUUCCUUCUUUUUUGUUUGCACUUGUGCUUGGAGAGGUGAGAAAAGGUGGUGAGGGACAGGCAACUAGCACUCUCCCCUUUGAUUAAAAACAUCUUUUCUCUCUCUUAGGUCAAAAUAAUACAGAUGACUUCAGUUUGUCAGCCCAUGGACCUCUCAAAGAACUUAUUUCGCAAUGGCCUCCUGCAUUUGAUGAAGAGCAAGAAGCAGAUGAAUUUAAAUAUAUAUACAUAUUAACAGGACACACACACACACACACACACACAAAACCACGCACAAACCAAUUCCACUUGACCUCCUUUCUAAAUGAAACAGACAAAUAUGCAGGACACGCCCAUCCUGGAUUUCCUGAAAGCAGGCUCCUUUCUCCCAGGCCUUUAAAGUUCAAAAGGAGACGCGUUGGUGCCCCCUGCUGGCCAUUACUAACUCCUCGGCAGCCCAGCCAGUCAACCUCUGUGAGCUGCGAAGUCAUGGGGCACAUUAGUUUGAGAGCCCCGUUUUCUGCACUCCAUACAUCUUGAUAGCACCACAGCUACUUAGGCAAUGUAAUUGCAAAAAAGACAAACAAAAACAUGCCACGAUGACCUUGUAACCGAAGUUUGAAAUGGCAGGUCGUUUGCCCUAAAGGCUGUACCGUACAUACUUGCCUUAACCCACCUGCGUUGUGUGCCCGAGAAUCUCAGUGCAGACAUCCCUGAGUCAAUUCCUUUAGGCUAACACACUGCUAUUCAUUCCGAAUGAGUUCGAGUCUGUGUGUUUCGUGUCGAGAGACAAGACUGAAUAACUCAGCAGCUCCAGUGUGUCUGUGUAAGAAAACUGCCAGCUGUCAGCAAAGUGCAUUAUGUAACGUUGAGCCUCCCUGAUGGCCAAAAAGAGACAAGUACCAAUAACAACAACAAUAAUAGUCAUCUUUAUAAUUAUUAGGUAUGGUCUUCUGAUGGGGUUGGGGUGGGACAAAGUAAAAUUUAUUAAUCUACUAACUCAUUAAUCUAUUGGAAGCAGAAAGCAAAAAUGGCUUAACUCACUGAUUUUAUUUAUUGCACUCUAGGUGCUUUUAUAAGUAUCUACAAAUGUCUUUUACUAACACAGAAAACAGCUGUGGAUUUCUAUCAACCGAGGCCAACUGACUAUGUAUUAGCUAUGUUUACUCUUUUAUAUCUAAUUCAAACGGAAGACCUGAUGUAGGUGAACUUUCUUUUCUAACUUCGGCAUACAAGAUUAUUUUUUGGGUGGGUGGGGGGGAGCAAUAGUUACCUUGGUGAAAUAUUUGAGAUCUCAUUGUGGUAUUUGGGGGAUCUGUUGUGUGUUAGAGUGUAUUUCAAUCCUCCUGUAUUAUCGUGGCAGAAAAACUGUGCUGUUACGUAGUUGGCAAACAAGAUGCCUUUGGAAACUUAAUAGUAGGUCAAUGUGUCUAUGGAAUAUUCUGAACUCCUAGGAAAUUUUGUUUUAUAUUAUCAAGCAUUAUUUGGUUUUCAUUAGUGGAAAACAUAAUUAGCUCAGGCUUAUCAGUAACUCAGAUGAGUCAUGAUUUUCUCAGAUCCACUUGAGACACUAAAAUCAAAUUUUGUUGAACUAACACCAUCUUUAAAUACAGUGAAAUUCAGACUGGGAAAUUUAUAAAUUGUCAUGGAGCAACUUUUCUCUUUGAUUUUUAUGAAGUUUCAGUUAUUGGGUAAACCUCCUUUGGACCUUAGCUCAUUCAGAUAAAAAUGGUCCCAUAACUGUGUUGCAUGAAUGUUUGUAAUGUACACAGGCAUAUACAUUUGAAAAUAAUAAAGGAGCAAAAGUUUACCAUUGGAACAUAAACCACAAACAUACAUUCCAGCACAUGUGCUUGGAUUUUUCUCAGUGGCUUGCAUAUGUUUGUCCAUACGUACAUGUAUAAAAUAUACAAUUGCAAACAUGUCAGUGAAACCUCAUAUGAUGCUUUUAUAGUGACAUGCAUGUUUAAUGUACAAGAAAAAUAUUUACCAAUGUACUGUCUUUUGACUCCUAAAAUAUACAUACUAUAAAUGCCAGAAACUAUUCUAAUGUGACUAUUGAUGUAACUAUUAAAAUGAGGUUUCACUGUACAUGCAUGCUGUGAAGAGAUUCAACCUUGUAGUACAUGUAUAUGGAUACAGACAAUGAGCCCUCAUAUUCCCGUUUUAAGUUACAGCCAGCUUACCACCAAAUCACUACUAUCACCACCACCAAAAUUUUCAAAAACAGUUGUUGACUACUAAAAAUUAAUCAGUGGACAGGCCUUUUUUAGGAGCAGUAAGCACAGUGGUGUGAUUCUAUCUGGGAAAACAUCUAAGUUGUACAGCUGUAUCCUCCUCAAAAUCCGGUGAAGAAUGCUAUUUUUCUAGGCUGAGCUUUUGUUAUAAACCUAAUAUUCUGAAGGCAAGAGUUACAAUCCUGAUGUGUCUUUUUUUUUUCAUUUGUUAAUUCUGAAUGUAUUUUUAACAGAGUGAUUUUUUUGACUUACUA